rnacentral:rRNA from 1 species
UACGAACUGUGCAAACGUUAUUCGGAAUCACUGGGCUUACAGGGUGCGUAGGCGGCUUGUUAAGUAGGGUGUGAAAGCCCCCGGCUCAACCGGGGAAUUGCGCCCUAAACUGGCGAGCUGGAGUGAGAUAGGGGUGUGUGGAACUUCCGGUGGAGCGGUGAAAUGUGUUGAUAUCGGAAGGAACGCCGGUGGCGAAAGCGACACACUGGAUCUUGUCUGACGCUGAGGCACGAAAGCCAGGGGAGCGAACUGG